UACGUAGGGGGCAAGCGUUGUUCGGAAUCACUGGGCGUAAAGGGUGCGUAGGCGGGUCUUUAAGUCAGGGGUGAAAUCCGUGGAGCUCAACUCCAGAACUGCCUUUGAUACUGAGGAUCUUGAGUACGGGAGAGGUGAGUGGAACUGCGAGUGUAGAGGUGAAAUUCGUAGAUAUUCGCAAGAACACCAGUGGCGAAGGCGGCUCACUGGCCCGUAACUGACGCUGAGGCACGAAAGCGUGGGGAGCAAACAGGG
rnacentral:rRNA from 1 species